GGUUGCGAUCAUACCAGCACUAAUGCACCGGAUCCCAUCAGAACUCCGCAGAUAAGCGUGCAUGGGCGAGAGUAGUACUAGGAUGGGUGACCCCCUGGGAAGUCCUCGUGUUGCAACCCC
rnacentral:rRNA from 1 species